GGUGGGAGGAGAUGGAACAACCUAGGGGGAGACAUUGGAACCUGAUUUUACUGGUUGAAAGGUUGCCCUACCACAGAGGUGACUGGUGGAGUGCGUUCUAGGACUUCCUUCCAGUUCAUCAUGUCUAACUGGCUCUUUUCUGAAAGCUUCCUCCUUCAAAAGAGUCAGAGCAUGGACUUCCCUUCCUUCUAGUGACAGUUUCAUUCAUUCUGGAGGAUUUUAGCUUAGGGCAGUUAAGACCUUAUGGUCGAUGGGUAGGGAGGAAAUGAAUUUCCAAUGAAGUUGCAUGUCUCAUUUCCCUGUGGAGGGAGUAAGGGACAGGCUGUUGGUGUAAUGAGACCUUUCUCUGUAUCACUUUCUUUGUAGGACCUCGUGGGCCUUCGCCAGCAGGGCUCCUGGACUGACACCUGAGGAUACUUUGACAGGGAUUGGUUUUUGCUCUUCUGUAAUGCCUGCCUGUCCUUGCUCAGAAUUCCCAGCUGCCUGUGUCAGCCUGUACCCCUCUGAGAUCAGAGUCCUACAGUGACUCUGAUGCAUUCUUCAGGUCACCUCCUGUGACCUCUGCCCUGAGGAUCUGACUGCAACACUACUUCCUGCAGUGACCCCAGAGCUCUGCCUGUGCGGUUGCUUCCAGCAGCGUCUACUUGGUUCCCAAGGGUUUCUUCUGAUCCAUUCUUCUCCUACAGGCUGUUCAAGAGAAGCACAUUGAAGCCAUUUACCUGACCAUAGAGCUUUUAUCAUAAUUAAACAUGAUUAUGAGUUA